rnacentral:snoRNA from 1 species
GUUUUAGGGAGGGAGAGUGGUGUGUGGUUUGCGUGUUGUGUGCGGAGUCGUGGUGUCGCGUGCGGGCUGAGUGGACGCGUGAGUGUGCGCGCUUGGAGCGUGUUAGGCGAGUGCGUGCGCCCACCCUGCGCCCCUCCUCCCGCUUACAUGUUGAUCUUAUUUGAUCGGGUCGUGACCCCAGCCCCGCCGGUCCGACCCGAAAUGAAAAGCUCUCCUCCUGUGAAGCCCCCUCCUCGAGGCGCUGUGCAGAGAGGCCCCUUAGGCGGCGGCAACGCUGCGGUCCCCGAGGUCCUGGAGCUGGCCCUGCGGGGCCCGGCGCUCAGAAGUGAUGAAUUGAUCAGAUAGACGAGGCCGGGCUUGUGCCCGGCCACUGAUUAUCGAGGCGAUUCUGAUCUGG